GGGGGGGGGGGGGGGGGGGGCGAGGACAGGCGGGGCGGGGGAGCAGACGAGGGGCUUGCUCCGCUGACGUUAGCGGCGGACGGGUGAGUAACACGUGGAUCACCUACCUAUAAGACUGGGAUAACUUCGGGAAACCGGGGCUAAUACCGGAUAAUAUAUUGAACCGCAUGGUUCAAUAGUGAAAGACGGUUUUGCUGUCACUUAUAGAUGGAUCCGCGCCGCAUUAGCUAGUUGGUAAGGUAACGGCUUACCAAGGCGACGAUGCGUAGCCGACCUGAGAGGGUGAUCGGCCACACUGGAACUGAGACACGGUCCAGACUCCUACGGGAGGCAGCAGUAGGGAAUCUUCCGCAAUGGGCGAAAGCCUGACGGAGCAACGCCGCGUGAGUGAUGAAGGUCUUCGGAUCGUAAAACUCUGUUAUUAGGGAAGAACAAAUGUGUAAGUAACUAUGCACGUCUUGACGGUACCUAAUCAGAAAGCCACGGCUAACUACGUG
rnacentral:rRNA from 1 species